rnacentral:rRNA from 1 species
GAUGAACGCUAGCGGCAGGCCUAACACAUGCAAGUCGAGGGGCAGCACAGGUAGCAAUACUGGGUGGCGACCGGCGGAUGGGUGCGUAACGCGUAUGCAACCUACCAUUGAUUGGGGCAUAGCCCGAAGAAAUUCGGAUUAAUACUCCAUAAUAUUCAUCAAAGGCAUCUUUUAUGAAUUAAAGCUUUUGCGAUCAAUGAUGGGCAUGCGUGACAUUAGUUAGUUGGUGAGGUAACGGCUCACCAAAACGAUGAUGUCUAGGGGUUCUGAGAGGAUUAUCCCCCAACUGGUACUGAGACACGGACCAGACUCCUACGGGAGGCAGCAGUGAGGAAUAUUGGUCAAUGGACGCAAGUCUGAACCAGCCAUGCCGCGUGCAGGAUGACGGCCCUAUGGGUUGUAAACUGCUUUUCCAGGGAGAGAAACUUGCGUACGCGUUGCGCAAUUGACGGUACCCUGGGAAUAAGCAUCGGCUAACCG